rnacentral:rRNA from 1 species
GGGCCCGCACAAGCAGUGGAUUAUGUGGAUUAAUUCGAUGCAACGCGAAGAACCUUACCAGGUCUUGACAUCAAGUGACCGGCUAAGAGAUUAGCCUUCCCUUCGGGGCACGAAGACAGGUGGUGCAUGGUUGUCGUCAGCUCGUGUCGUGAGAUGUUGGGUUAAGUCCCGCAACGAGCGCAACCCCUGCCAUUAGUUGCUACGCAAGAGCACUCUAAUGGGACCGCUACCGACAAGGUGGAGGAAGGUGGGGACGACGUCAAAUCAUCAUGCCCCUUAUGACCUGGGCUUCACACGUAAUACAAUGGCCGUUAACAACGGGAAGCAAUACCGCGAGGUGGAGCAAACCCCAAAACGGUCUCAGUUCGGAUCGCAGGCUGCAACCCGCCUGCGUGAAGUUGGAAUUGCUAGUAAUCGCGGAUCAGCAUGCCG